GACGAACGCUGGCGGCGUGCUUAACACAUGCAAGUCGAACGGAAAGGCCCCUUCGGGGGUGCUCGAGUGGCGAACGGGUGAGUAACACGUGGGUGAUCUGCCCUGCACUUUGGGAUAAGCCUGGGAAACUGGGUCUAAUACCGGAUAGGACCAUGGGAUGCAUGUCCUGUGGUGGAAAGCUUUUGCGGUGUGGGAUGGGCCCGCGGCCUAUCAGGUUGUUGGUGGGGUGAUGGCCUACCAAGGCGACGACGGGUAGCCGGCCUGAGAGGGUGUCCGGCCACACUGGGACUGAGAUACGGCCCAGACUCCUACGGGAGGCAGCAGUGGGGAAUAUUGCACAAUGGGCGCAAGCCUGAUGCAGCGACGCCGCGUGAGGGAUGACGGCCUUCGGGUUGUAAACCUCUUUCAACGCCGACGAAGGGUGACUGACGGUAGGCGUAGAAGAAGCACCGGCCAACUACGUGCCAGCCGCCGCGGUAA
rnacentral:rRNA from 1 species